rnacentral:rRNA from 1 species
UACGUAGGGGGCGAGCGUUGUCCGGAAUCAUUGGGCGUAAAGAGCUCGUAGGCGGUUCAGUAAGUCAGGUGUGAAAGCUCCGAGCUCAACUCGGAGAGGCCACCUGAUACUGCUGUGACUAGAAUCCAGUAGGGGGAGUGUGGAACUCCCUGGUGUAGCGGUGAAAUGCGCAGAUAUCAGGAAGAACACCAGCGGCGAAGGCGGCACUCUGGGCUGGAAUUGACGCUGAGGAGCGAAAGUGUGGGUAGCAAACAGG